GUUUCAUUAACAAAGGGAAGAGAGAGGACCGCUGCUCACUGGCAGUACUCUACGGCUGUUCACGACGGCCGGAGAAGACAAACCCCCCAAAAAAACUUCCUCUCGCUCUCCUAAACCUAAAAAUCAUCUCCAUUUAGCAUAAAAAAAUACCCUAGAAUCUUAGAUCUAGGGUUUACCUUUCGAAAAAGAAAGGAACCGACGACUCUUGGGCUUCCAUUGCUUCGAACCGAGUUCGGUUCCUCCUCUCUGCUCCCUCUUUUGUGCCUGUUGCUUCUGCUUUUUAUCUCCUUGCAUGAUGGACUUUGGGUGACUUGUGGAUGUGAGUGAUGGUAUCUCUGGGUAGGUGUUAGAGUGAUGACAGCGGCGACAAGGAGCUACGAUUACGGCUCACACGACGGGAAAGUUGAAGGGUUGGGCGUGUGCACUACACGCGUCGGUUGAUCGGACGGUCCACAUCCGUUGUUGAUGGUGACGCUAGAAACCAUCAAAAACCCUAAUAAGUUUCGGGUUUUGAUGCAAUUGGGCCGAGUCGGAUCCCUCUUUGGGCCGGAUUGAGUUUUGUAACUGUGUUAGGUCUAUACUGGGUUUUGGGUUUUGCAAUUGAAGUUGGACUUUAGG